rnacentral:rRNA from 1 species
AAGCGGCGUGCUGGACACUUUUGACGCUGAGGCACGAAAGCCAGGGGAGCAAACGGGAUUAGAUACCCCGGUAGUCCUGGCCCUAAACGAUGGGUACUAGAUUGUGGAUUUGACAUGAAUUCCCAAUCGAAGCAAAAGUGUUAAGUACCCCGCCUGGGGAGUAUGGUCGCAAGGCUGAAACUCAAAGGAAUUGACGGGGGCUCACACAAGCGGUGGAGCAUGUGGCUUAAUUCGAGGCUACGCGAAGAACCUUAUCCUGGGCUUGACAUGUGCGAAAGCGGUUGGAAGUACCUUGCGGAAACGUGGAGGGAACGGUAUCCAGUCCGGAACCAACUACAGGUGCUGCAUGGCUGUCGUCAGCUCGUGUCGUGAGAUGUUGGGUUAAGUCCCGUAACGAGCGAAACCCUUGUCUCCAGUUGCCAGCGAGUAAAGUCGGGGACUCUGGAGAGACUGCCGGUGUCAAACCGGAGGAAGGCGGGGAUGACGUCAAGUCCUCAUGGCCUUUAUGCCCAGGGCUGCACACGUGCUACAAUGGCGUAUACAAAGGGAGGCCAACCCGCGAGGGGGAGCAAAUCCCAGAAAAUACGCCCCAGUUCAGAUCGAAGGCUGCAACUCGCCUUCGUGAAGUUGGAAUCGCUAGUAAUCGCGGGUCAGCAACACCGCGGUGAAUGUGUUCCUGAGCCUCGUACACACCGCCCGUCAAGCCACGA